AUCAAAUCCCCCGUCAUCGACGGCUAGCAUCUCAUUCAGUGACUGAGACCGAGGUUUUCGCUCUGGACGGACCGAGGUGGCAUCAUUUGGCGAUGCAAGUGCUUUUAGUUUCUUUCCCAGGCUUAGGAUUGUCUCCUGACACUCAAUGAGCUUCUGUGAUGCUGUCGAGAUCUCCAGCUGCUGUGUGAACAAGGGGAUUAAAUGUUAACUAUAGAAACUUCUUUACUGGUAAACUGUCCAAAUGAAGGUAAUAACUCAUGGACUAAAGAUCCCUCCAAAGCAGGGUGUACUCAAGGAACCAGCAAAU
rnacentral:lncRNA from 1 species